CGCCCCUCCCUCCCUCUGUCCCUUCCCUCCCUCCCUCCCCUCUAGGCUGGGUCCUUGCACCCGGGUUCCUGGUGUGCUCCGUAGCUGGGACGCGCGGAACUCGAGGCGGGAGUCGACUCUCCGGAUCCGCGUCCCUCCCUUCCCGUUCCCUGCCCCCUUCCCCCACCCCGACGCGAGCUUGGCGCGACAGCCAGAGGAGCCCCGAGUGACAGCUGAUGGAGUGUUCCCUCUCAGAGGCUCAGAAGUGGGUAAGCCUUCAAGGACCUCAUUGCAUUGGGGGGCCUAAAGUUACAGGGACCCUCCUAGGUGUCAACUUUGUGGGCAUUCUGCCUUUGCUCAUCCGUCCUCCUUCCUGGCAGCUUCUCCACUGAGGAGCAGCUCCCCUCAUGACUCUGGGUGCCUCUGGCUCCUAGACUCCACUUUCCCCUGCUCCCUGGGCCUUCCCAGGACCUGUUCUCUGUGGCCAAGGCAAGGGCUUUGGAGGCCUAGACCCAGCCCCUUCUGCACCUGCUCUCUUCCUAGGCCCUGUCGCUCCCUAGGGUGGCCCUGCCUGGCACCUGAGUGUUCCACACCAGGCCUGUCAUCUGGUCCUAAUCCAGUUUCCAGUUUCCACUGCACUACCUGGGGCACACCCCGACCUCAGGCAUCUCAGACCACAGGCUCCUAAAUCCAACUUGUGAUCUUCAUCCACAUUCCCUGGCAUGGUUGGCUUCCCUGUCACCUAUGUAGUCCCCCCAGCCUGUGACCUGGGACUGACAUUCUGCUGCUUCUUUACUCAUGCAACCCCAGAAUGUCCUUGGGGGCAGGGGAGCACCUCCCCUAAGCACUGACCUGUCCACGCUGCUGCCUCCCCCGCUCUGACGCCCACUCUUUCUGUGGUCCCCUGGCUCCAGUGUGGGGUAGGCCUAUACUGGUCUGCCUGGCCUCUUGCAGAAUUCUCUCCACUGACUCUUUGCCUUCAGUGUUCCCUCCCUCAGUCUUCUUUUGUUACUUCAUCUAAAUUUAAAGCAAGGAAGACACCUGUUCUGUGACUGAAUCUAUUGGAGCUGUGGCUCUUACCUCUAAAAGGUAAACCCUUUCCCAUUCCCAAGUGAGGUGAAAUGCAAGCUUUUAAAGAUGAACUUGACUUUUCCUCUGACUGUGGGACUGGCCCUUUCCUUGACCUCCCCUAUGUGCACUCCACUACCACCAGCUCCCAUAAUCUACCGGGGGCUGAAGUGGAUCAGAGAACCUUGGCUUGGGUGUCAAAGCAGGAAGGAGCUUCCAACCCAACCUUCAAAAUUUUAUAGAAAAGAAGAGCAAGGCACAGAGAAGGGUCAAGGCCAGGGUUGCCACCACUGGGGGUUUGUGACAGGGCCUCUUGUGGUUGUGUGUAUUCUUUUGCCAAGACUGUUAUCACAAAUUACCACAACCUGGGUGGUUUAAAACAAGGGAAAUUUGUUCUUUCAACCCUGGAGACUUGAAGUCCAGAAUCAAGGUAUCAUUGGGUUGGUUCCUUCAGGGAGAAGCUGUUCCAGGAGUUACUCUUGGCUUCUAGUGGUUAUGGGCUAUCUUUGGCAUUCCAUGGCUUGUAGCCAUAUCAGUUCAUCUUCUGCUCUCCUUAUGUGUGUGACUGUGUCCAAAUUUCCCUCUUCUUCUAAGGACACAAGUCACUGGAUUAGGACCUGGCAUGCCCUUACCCUAACUUGCUUACACCAUCAGGUUCCAAGUAAAGUCACUCACAGGUACUGGGACUCCAGCAUGUCUUUUUGGUUACACACUUGAACCUAUGGCAGCGUGGCAGAUACAGUCGGAGUUUAUGGUGCUAGAGAGGUGAUGUGAGGUAUGGUACGUGUUGGGUCACCCUAGGGUUCCAUUUGUUGAUGUUUUAGGUUGGGAACUUUUGUGCUGUCCUUGUAACUAAGCAUUUGCAGAUCCUAGGUACUUCUCUGUUACAUGUGUGAGGCUGGAGGACCAAAAUCAAGGGGGUCUCCUUUAAAGAUGUGACUGUACAUCUCAGCCUAGGAGGGUGAAUUGCUUCCCACAGGUAUCUUUUGUUUUUUUUCUUUUUAAACAUUUUGUCAUUGUUCUCCUUUGGACAAUAAACUCACAUACAUGCUAGAACUUCACUGUUUUCUAUUCGUCUCUGUUUUAUUUAACUGACAGGCUUGCUCCUGUUUUUCUUUAGAGGCAAGUGCCUUAUACUGCUGUUUUUUUGAUGGCUCUGGAAGUUCAUUGUUGUGCUGGCCCUCCUGACCUUGGUCUGGCCUUUGCCCAAGUGCGAUCUCUGAGUCAGCAUUUCCGGUGGGCUGGAGGGCUGCGGCAGGAUAGGCCAUGGCUGCAGAGGUUUGGGACACUAGGCCUGCAGGUGGCAAGAAGCUGGGUCUGGGGCUCCAUAUUUAGUCUGGAAUUCACUCCCAGCUGCUGCUCUGAGACUGGGCAGGUGCCAGAAAGGGCGGAGCACUGGUCCUGUGCCAGGGCAGCAUGGCUGAUUACAGCUUGCCUGGAACUUCAGGUCUGCCUGGGGCUGGCCUGUCCCUUUCCUGCUCGUCCACUGACCAGGGGCAGGGAAGAGAGUGAGCACACAUCUCAGCAUGAGAAGCCUGAGGACUGGACAGCGUUCUCUCUCUACAGAGAUGGUGACCAGGGUGCCCCAGAGCAAGGACAUCCCCAAGGUCACCUGCCUUAGUUAGCUAAUGGCAGAGCCCAGAUUUGGGUUUGAGUCCUUUGCCUUUGCUUGGGAUCAUGCUGCCAGGAGGCCAUGCUGUUAUCAGGGUGGGGUCCUCCAGGUACAGCCUUGCCAGAGACCCAGAAGAGAAUGAACUGUACCCCUGGCAGCGUCCAGAUUGGGAAAAUACAAACCUCCCUUCCAGAUUUCUUUUUGCCUCCCUUUCUGCAUCACCUUCCUAUUCCCAUUAGCGCGGCCCCUCCUCCUCUGUCUCCCACAUUAAAGCCUGCUGUGUUAGUCAUUUACACUGUAGUAUGAUGCCUCAUUAGCUCUGCAACCCUGGGAGGUGGGAGGGGUCAGAGCCUUUCACCCACUUUACCGAUGUGGAAACUGGUAGUAGACAGGGAAAAGAUUCCUGUCUUAAAUACCUCAGUAGUGUCUGGGUUUCAGAAGCUGUUCUCAUCCUUGCCCAAUUAGCUUAGAUACCAGUGAGUAAAUUAUUGUAAAGCCUCCACCUGCUAGGCACCAACCUUCCCAGGGGUGAUUUGGAAAUGGCUGUCCUGGCAUCCUGUUUCCACGUGGGACCAGGACCAGAUGUAGUGGCUGGACUCAGAGAAAAACCAUUAGCCAUAACUCAAGUGCAGUGAGUGGAUUAGUAGUGGGUACAAGCCUGAUGCAGAGAUGGACACUGUCAUCCCAUGACACGUGGCUCUUGUCGCUGUUAGCAUUUGGUGGCUGUGAGCUGGCAGAGGGCUCCAGGUGGAGGGAGGAAGGCCUGGCAGUGCUGAGGCAGCCACUGGGAGAGAGUGAUGGGGCUUAAUGGAGCUCAGCAGCAUGGCAGAAGCCAAGCUGGCCUCUCAUGGCUCUUGGUCUCAGAGCCCCAAGGAAAGAAGAACAAAGGAGCUGCUGCCAGGCUUCCCAGCUUCCUCUCGCUCUGAAAGGCUGGCUGCUUCGGAGCAGGGAACGGUGGCACCAGGAUCUGGGGGCCAGAGCAGGUGGGGCCACAGCCAGGCUGGCCAACUGCACUGUGGCACCCCCACAUCCUAUCUCAGGACAAGCCAGUCCAGUUGGUAAAUGAUCCCUCUAAAGUUCUCUGUCAUCCUUGCUACCCUGGUAAUCCUCCCUGACCGGGGAAGGACUGGCAGUAUGUGCCGGUGGCAGUGUGUGCUGGUGGGAGUAUGGCAGCUUCAGGACUCAGCAGGGGUCCCUCAGGUCAGGAUAGCAUUGGGGACAAUACACAGGAGACCAUGGAACAAUGGGCAGGGAUAUCAGUGCUACUCUGAGGUCUCCUGGGAAGACUUAGCAAAAAGGGCAGGUUUGUAGUACAUUUGAAAAGACUUGGCUGCAGCUAAGCAAGAUUAUGUUUAUUAUCGCCUUUGGUAUCAUUGGCCAUAUUAUUGGUAUCAAUAAUAGUGUUUAAAGUUCAGAGCUGAUUUCCAUCUUCUUCAACCCAGAGAGUUAAAACAAAAUGUAGAAGUCUGUUUUCAUGUCUAGGUGUUGAAAUGAGGCCUGAAGAUGGGCACAAGUGAUGGAGCCCAGGCAAGAGCAGGUCUUUGCCUCCUGCAGGCCUAGGACCAGGCCAAGGGACGCUAGCAACAUAGUCAAUCAUAUACCAUGUGAUAGAAGCUCCCCAAAAAUUAUUGAGAGGACUGUUUUCUAUCAAUCAAAUGAUGUGGGCCAAAGAGCUAGGUGUUGUGUGUCCUGUGUCUUGGGUCCCUUCCCUCCCCUCUGCCUGAAAUGUAUGCUGGGCAGGGUAUUUGGGGUAGUGGAGAAUGUGCUGUGCUCUGUGCUGCCCUUUUCACAUGGACCCGGGGAGUCUCCUGCUCCCCUGAUCAGAGGCACAGGCCCUGCACAAAGAGGGCUGAUGCUUGGAUAUACUGUCACUGUUUCAAAAUUUUAUUUUGAGCAAGAAAGCUCACACUUUUUCCUGCAUUGAGCCUCAUGAACUAUGCAACUAGUCCUGCUUGCUCAAGGUCCAACAGUUGUCAGGGGCAAGAGGCCUGUGCUCCCCACUGCCAUGCAGGGGACUUCCAGCUGGCUGGGUUGCCAUGAGGGCAGCUUCUGUGGCAGCUGCUCGGAGGUGGAGCAGCUGAGCAAGGCCAGAGGGGCAUUUCUGGAAUGAGCACUCCUACAUUCCCUGGCUCCCACCCCACUGUCCUUCCCCCAAGUCUCUCCCCUGCCCUCCUCAUGUAGAAAUGCCAGGUGCACUCUGCCUUUGUUGGCAGAAUAGGGAGAGAGAUCCACAAGCCCACACAGUCUGCUCCAUCCCUGUCCUGAAGCUGGCUCAGUUUGUGCUCCCAUCAGGGUUUAUCUUCAAUGGACAGUGGAUGGGAAGAGGAGAACUAUCUGAGGAAUGCUCCUUGCCUGGCUAGUAGGUCAGCUGUGGCAGGCCCAGAGCCCAGCAGCAAGUCCUGAUGGGCAAAGGGACUGAGUGAGAUAGCCAAGAUCAGGAUUUGGAAUUCCAGGUGACAAGUGCUACAGUGCUCAGAAAGGGACAGUAGUGAUUAGUAACAACUUAACUGCUUCAAACAAGUGGGCUCCAAAGUGUGUGUGUGUGUGUGUGUGUGUGUGUGUGUGUGUGUGUGUGUGUACAGGAUGCUCACCUAAAGAAAAUGUUGCAAUGCCUGUGUGUAUAUAUAUAUUUUAAAAGUUACUUUCUAUUUUGAUGUAUGCUUUUUGCAACGCAGAAAAUAUAUUACCAGAGUGUGUGUGUAUAAAUGUGUGUGUUGCCUAUGUAGUAUGUAUGUGCGUUAUGCACAUAUAGUGUGUUUAUUUGCCAGGGCUGAUGUAACAAAGUAUAGCUUUUGUGACUCAAACAACUGAAAUCUGUUGCCUUAUGGUUCUGGAGGCAGGAAGAUCAAGUCAUCUGCAGGGCUGGUUCCUUCUGGGCACCAUGAGGACAAUCUGCUCUGCAUUCUCCUGGUGUCUGAUGGUCGCUGGCAACUUCUGGUGCUCUUUGACUUCUGAUGCAGUUUCCAUGGAAGGCAGUUUCCUAGUCUGCCUUCCACCUGAGGUGUCCUCCUGUGUACAAGACAGCCCAAACACCCCUCCUUCCCUCUUUUUAUGGUACUGAGAUUGAACCCAGGGCCUUUGUGCCGAAUUACCUUCCCAGCCCCAGACCUUUUUUAUUUUGAGAAAGGGUCUUGGAAAGUUGUUCAGACUGGGCUCAAACUUUCAAUCCUCCUGCCUCGGUUUCCCAGAAUGCUGAGAUUUCAGGAUUGUACCACCCUCUCUGGCUUCAAUGUUGAAGGACCACAGUCAGAUUGGAUUGGAGCACACUUUACUUGAGUAUGACCUCAUUGUAAUUAACCAUAUCUGCAAUGACUCUGUUUCCAAAGAAGGUUAUAUUGUGAAGUACUGGGGGUUAGGG
ensembl:lncRNA